AAUUUGGAUGAGUCUUUACAAAGGUAUCCACAAUACAUGUAAAGAAAAACAUAGUCCAAUAAAAACGAAACAAUAUAGAACACAAGAAUUCAUUUGAAAUAAUUACAAUGCCAGGUAACAGAAAUGUCACUAAAUAUUUAAUACCUGGUGAGCAGUAGGGAAAAAGUAAGUUCUGCUUGAACCUAGUAGCAAUGUCGCCAUUGCUUUAGGAUCACACCUCUGGAUGGUAUUCAGUUCAAAUCUUAAACUUUGUAGGAAAAUCUCAGGUUCUGUGUCCAAUCGGCUGUGACCUACGGCCGAGGCUGAGGCUGGAGCCUUUGCCCGGGUGCCUGAUGAUGCUGCCCAACACCAGCAGGGGGCAGUGUUGCCACCCACAUGCCAGGGAACUCAUGUCCCCAAAGAAAGCCAUCGGAGGCAGGGACGUUCCAGGACAUAUUUUUGAGAAAAUAACACGUAUGGUACCUAAAACAACAUCAAACCUCAGUUCAUUUGUGAACUAUGCUUGGGGGAGCCACCAAUAACUCCACAGCAGCAUUCAAGUCAAACCACAGCGCCUCCCAAGCAUUGGGGAGCAUGGGGGUCUCUGGAACCUGCACCUGCCUCCAACCGGUCAAUCCGCAGAGCAGCCCUCUCCUCCCUGCGUCAGCGGCGGCACCAGUGCCAUUGGUGAAGGCUUGCAGUGGACUGUGCCAACCCACCCACCAGCAAUGCGUCUGGCCCUUCAUAGAAUCGAAGACUCCCAUUCAGCUAAGAGAGAUCAAGAUUGUCCCCCAAACUAGAAAGCUGCUCUCAACACAGAGUUUUCAUUUCGUACCUGUCAAAAGAGCAGUUUUUACUUAUUUAGACAUAGGUUUUUAUUGAUAUCACUCCUUUGUAUACUUAACUAGGAAAAUAAGGCAAAAACAAUUGGUCUCGAUUCCUCUGUGCUUCUUCAGGGUACGUCUGUCUUCCCAGUCACCGCUCCAAGCAGGACUGCAUGGUUGGCCUCCUUGUGCCACAUCCUUUCCUGUGGCCUCAGGGGCCUGAAUUGGGGGCGUUGUGAGGGUCCCCACCAACGUCUGCCAGCGGCUUCUGUCCCACAAGUUUCUAUGCAGACAAGGAGACAAUGCAGCCAGGCGUGUCCUGAAUCCAGAGGUGGUAAAAUGGGGACAAACAGGCCUCUUAGAGCUGGGAACACGUGGUGUGUGGCAUCUGUAAAGAAAAGAGGACUGUCAGACAUCUCCUUAACUGUGUGGCGCUGGGAAGCAUGUGUUCCUGACGUUGCUCUGAAAAGGGCAUCAUCUCACUUCUGUGGUUCU
rnacentral:lncRNA from 10 species